CUCUUCUGUAGGACCUCCAUGUGGUGCAAGUAACUGAUCCCUGGAAAGCAAGGCUGUAAUGUGAGCCGGCCACUGCUUCCCCUAGAUUUGUACUUGGGACUGAUGAAGAAGCAUGAGAAGAUAGCUGGGGCGACCCAAGGAGCUCUCCUGAUUCUCAUACCUCAUAGUCUGCCCAAUUACUGCCACCCUCCACCCAGCACCACCCAAGACCCACUCCUAUCGUCCUCAGCGGAAGCAGCUGACACUAGGCCUGUGGGGAAAGUACAUUUUUGGCAAGGCAAGUACCCUCAAGACUUCAGGGAGCUGCUCUUGGCUGUCAC